rnacentral:rRNA from 1 species
ACGUAGGGGGCAAGCGUUGUCCGGAAUGAUUGGGCGUAAAGGGCGCGUAGGCGGCCUGGUAAGUCUGGAGUGAAAGUCCUGCUUUUAAGGUGGGAAUUGCUUUGGAUACUGUCUGGCUUGAGUACAGUAGAGGUAAGUGGAAUUCCCGGUGUAGCGGUGAAAUGCUUAGAGAUCGCGUGGAACACCAGUGGCGAAGGCAGCUUACUGGACUAUAACUGACGCUGAGGCGCGAAGGUGUGGGGAUCAAACAG